rnacentral:rRNA from 1 species
CCUACGGGCGGCAGCAGUGGGGAAUAUUGGACAAUGGGCGAAAGCCUGAUCCAGCCAUGCCGCGUGUGUGAAGAAGGCCUUCGGGUUGUAAAGCACUUUCAGUGGGGAAGAAAGCCUUGGGGCUAAUACCCUCGAGGAAGGACAUCACCCACAGAAGAAGCACCGGCUAACUCCGUGCCAGCAGCCGCGGUAAUACGGAGGGUGCGAGCGUUAAUCGGAAUUACUGGGCGUAAAGCGCGCGUAGGCGGUCUGAUAAGACGGUUGUGAAAGCCCCGGGCUCAACCUGGGAACGGCAUCCGGAACUGUCAGGCUAGAGUGCAGGAGAGGAAGGUAGAAUUCCCGGUGUAGCGGUGAAAUGCGUAGAGAUCGGGAGGAAUACCAGUGGCGAAGGCGGCCUUCUGGACUGACACUGACGCUGAGGUGCGAAAGCGUGGGUAGCAAACAGGAUUAGAUACCCUAGUAGUC